CCUAGUUUUUGGAACAGUGAUCUGGAGAUUUUCAUCAAAUUUUAAUUUUCAGGCCAUCGAGGACCUCGUGGACCACCAGGAAUAUAUGAAGAUUUUGUGGGUAUAAAGUUUUUCGCUUCUGCGAUAUUUGAUCCAGUCUUUUGCUUUUCCCCCUAUAAGGCACUUGACUUGCAUUUCAAGACUUGCAUUUCAAAGCUAUGUAUAAUAUUGACUAUUUAGUAUUACAGUCAAGUUGGAUAUUUUAUUAAUGUUUAGAUUUCGUAUGUGUUAGAAUAGAUGACUAUUAAUGACUUUUAAUAUUUUUGCACAUGUGAAGAACAUAAAAAAGUCUAUAAGUUCAUUGGUCAAAUUUGACGUAUUAAGCUGUUAUCGUCACCUAAAGGUGAAUACAACAAAACCGAAAUUUCAAUAUGGCGGCUAGCCGUUUGGUGGGAGUUACUGAUAAAGAAAUUAGGGAAAUUAAAAUAAAUUCAGUCCCAAAAAGAUAAAAAACUUGUGGUCAAAUACUAAAUCAAUUAUUACUCGCCUCAGGCUCGGAUGUUGCAGAGUAACGUCAAAAAUUUAAAGAAAGAUGCUAUAUUGUUUUUACUUCUAUAAACGCUUGAUUCGCAUUUCACGAGUGGUUGCAAAGAAUAUGGUAUUGGCUAAUUAGUGUAAGAGAGUUCAGUAAAUAUUUAGUUUUCACAAAGAGUAUUUUACUCAUUGUAAACGUAUAUAAGUUUCGAGUAAAUGUAUAUAAAAUAUAUGUGUGUUUCGGUUUGUGUAAUAUUUUGACGGCAUUUGAUCCCCCGUUCGAAACGUUAUUUUGUGAGGACUUCAAAGGUGGUUUUCGAAAAAUUGAAUCGCAAUGUAGUGCGAAGCCGUUUGCCGACCUUAGUGUCGGUGAACAGUGCAAGCAUAUUCACCGAGGCACAAAAUCACUCCCACUUUGGUAUAAUUGUUAAACAUGUGAUGUAUAACCAGAAAAUAAGUUACGCCAAAAGCAUUUCAAAUUUUGAACGCUUUUCAUUCCGAAUUUACGACAUACAAAAAAUGCUUUGUAACUGUUUUCACAAAAUUGAUUUUCACAAAAUUGUUAUCAUAUAUGUUUUGUAGGCGAGCCAGGAAAAGAGAAACGAGCGUACUUGUUGGACUAGAUGCGACGACGAGAAAAUCAAGGCAUUAUGCUGCGGGAGUAUCAGUUUAACUUGAAGAAUUGGGUAAAGGACAGGCCACGGUAGAAUAGACAAUCAAUAGAUAGACGUGAACUUUAAGGCCUAAAGGUUGAUAUUAUAAUAGAAUAUGCCUUUGUAGCAACGUUCAGUUAAUUAAAUUUGUAUUUGCGAAAAACAGCCUUCAACUUUCUUGUUAUCUAUUAAGAC